rnacentral:rRNA from 1 species
GAUGAACGCUGGCGGCGUGCCUAAUACAUGCAAGUCGAGCGAACGGACGAGAAGCUUGCUUCUCUGAUGUUAGCGGCGGACGGGUGAGUAACACGUGGAUAACCUACCUAUAAGACUGGGAUAACUUCGGGAAACCGGAGCUAAUACCGGAUAAUAUUUUGAACCGCAUGGUUCAAAAGUGAAAGACGGUCUUGCUGUCACUUAUAGAUGGAUCCGCGCUGCAUUAGCUAGUUGGUAAGGUAACGGCUUACCAAGGCAACGAUGCAUAGCCGACCUGAGAGGGUGAUCGGCCACACUGGAACUGAGACACGGUCCAGACUCCUACGGGAGGCAGCAGUAGGGAAUCUUCCGCAAUGGGCGAAAGCCUGACGGAGCAACGCCGCGUGAGUGAUGAAGGUCUUCGGAUCGUAAAACUCUGUUAUUAGGGAAGAGCAUAUGUGUAAGUAACUGUGCACAUCUUGACGGUACCUAAUCAGAAAGCCACCGCUAACUACGUG